ACCUGGCUGGCUCAGUCAGUAGAGCGUGCGACUCUUGAUCCUGGGGUCAUGAGUUCGAGCCCCAUCUUGGGUG
rnacentral:tRNA from 1 species